rnacentral:lncRNA from 10 species
CUAGAUUGAAAAACUUCUAGAAAGAAAAACCAAAUGUCAGUGGAUGAGAGCCUCACUUUAAGACUUGAGCUUCCAUGAAAGAAGUUUGACUGCCAUGCUGGAGAAAUAAGAUGAAGAGCUCUUACAACUACUUUGGGAAAGAGAGAUACCCAGUUGAGCCCAGUCUUCCAGCUGUCACCAUCAAAAACACCAGGCUUGUGGAUGAAGCUGUCUUAUUCCCUUUAGACUGGCCAACAUACCAACUGGAUAUCACCAAGGGAUCCCAGAUGAUAUCUUAUGAAGCAGAAGAAUCACCCAACCAAACCCUGAUGGAAUUUCUGACAUGGAAAAUUAUUAGAUAUAAUGAAAUGGUUGUUGUUUCAAGGUAGUAGUAAUUUUUGGGGGGGGUGGUUUAUGCAUCAAUAAAAUAUGUAACUGAAACACAUGGACAUCAAACACAAAAAUUUGGUGAUGUGGCUUUUUUACAAAUUUAAGAUUUGUAUGUUGGUGAUCAAACAAUAAAAUGACCCCAUCUGAAGAAUAGGGGGAAGAAUCUAGGUAACCAGUUGCUUGCUGCAGGGUAGGUCAUCUCAGAGCUGGCCUAACAGAAUUGCAAUUCCUCCAACAUUCAGCUGAGUCUCCAUUCCUUAGCUUCUGCUGACUGGCCUAGGGGAUUUUUUUCCAAAGGCCAUAAAAUUAAAUUAGAAUUCACUGCUUAAGCAUAAUGAUUUCCCACUGUUUAUGUGGGUUAUCAUUUACAACCAACUGGCAUUUAAUCAAACCACUAUUUUUAUUUCAGGACCAGAGGCCACAACAUUGUGUAUUUUUUCUACCUCCCUGUUGAGCAAAGCAACUUCAGCCAAGCUGUGAAGGGAUAUCAAAUGGUUUGUGAAAAAUCAGCAUGCAGUAUUGUUUUCAAACAUAUUUAUGAUUUCACACCAACUUAGGAGGGAUUUAGUUCAAUUUGUUGAUUGACACAUAAUUUUACAUUUACAUAUGUAAUAAUGUCAAAAUCUUCUGGAGAAAAAAAUAUGAAUUAAAGGAACAUAAUCACAUUCUGAUACAAAUUCACUUAUCCUCAAUUCUAAUUCUGUCCUAAAGAGGAAGUAUGUAAAAUAUAUACAGCAUUGCCUAGCCAAGUAAGUAACACCUGCUUUGAAUCAUCUCAUUUCUACACUCUUGUUCCUGUCCUUCCCUUGGCCUAGAAUUUCUUCUGUCCUUCCUUCUUUCUUCUUCAUGAAAUCAAGACUCUGCUAAAUACCAUGUCUGUAAUGGCCACUCAUAGGUUUGUCUGGCCUAAACAACUUCUGAUUCUGAGAAAUGCCUGUCUUUUGCCACAUAAGUCCUGUUCCUCUCCCUGCUUUGACCCUAAAUACCCACAUGGCUGCUGGAAAAAUAUAAACAAACAAACAAAACACAUUUCUUGUUUUAAACUAGCAAUAUAUUCCCUUGCAACAAUAUUAGUUCUGACUUCCUUUUGAACCAUUUUCUGUCUCAUGACACAGCAAAUUGUCACCUCCAAAUACCUAUAGUUAUGCGUUUAUUCCAGUCUUAAAGUUCUUAUUUCAAAUAACAUGUAAUAAAGUUAUUUAUAUCUUCCUUUCCUAAUAAAUUAGAAGUUUCCUGUGGCAGUUACCUGGUUCAUUUACUCUCCCUAAUACCAAGCAUAGUGCCUUCCUUGUACAUAGUAGGUAUUUACUUAGCAACUGGUGUUAAAUCAUGUAACAUCUGUCAAAAUAUUAAAAUAAACAGAGAACUGCAAAGU